rnacentral:rRNA from 1 species
UACAGAGGUCUCGAGCGUUAGGCGGAAUCACUGGGCUUAAAGCGUGUGUAGGUGGAUCGGUAAGUACCUUGUGAAAUCCCACGGCUUAACCGUGGAACUGCUUGGUAUACUGCCAGUCUUGAGCCAGCUAGGGGCUACCGGAACAAAUGGUGGAGCGGUGAAAUGCGUAGAUAUCGGAAGGAACACCAGUGGCGAAGGCGGCUUCCUGGGCUAAUACUGACACUGAGGUGCGAAAGCGUGGGGAGCAAACAGG